UACGAAGGGUGCAAGCGUUAAUCGGAAUUACUGGGCGUAAAGCGCGCGUAGGUGGUUCAGCAAGUUGGAUGUGAAAUCCCCGGGCUCAACCUGGGAACUGCAUCCAAAACUACUGAGCUAGAGUACGGUAGAGGGUGGUGGAAUUUCCUGUGUAGCGGUGAAAUGCGUAGAUAUAGGAAGAAACACCAGUGGCGAAGGCGACCACCUGGACUGAUACUGACACUGAGGUGCGAAAGCGUGGGGAGCAAACAGG
rnacentral:rRNA from 1 species